UUAUCCGGAUUUAUUGGGUUUAAAGGGAGCGUAGGCGGGUGCUUAAGUCAGUUGUGAAAGUUUGCGGCUCAACCGUAAAAUUGCAGUUGGUACUGGGCGCCUUGAGUGCAGCAUAGGUAGGCGGAAUUCGUGGUGUAGCGGUGAAAUGCUUAGAUAUCACGAAGAACUCCGAUUGCGAAGGCAGCUUACUGGACUGUAACUGACGCUGAUGCUCGAAAGUGUGGGUAUCAAACAGGAUUAGAUACCCUGGUAGUCCACACAGUAAACGAUGAAUACUCGCUGUUGGCGAUACACAGUCAGCGGCCAAGCGAAAGCAUUAAGUAUUCCACCUGGGGAGUACGCCGGCAACGGUGAAACUCAAAGGAAUUGACGGGGGCCCGCACAAGCGGAGGAACAUGUGGUUUAAUUC
rnacentral:rRNA from 1 species